rnacentral:rRNA from 1 species
UUCGCGUUUCGAUCGUCGAAGUUGAACGUUUGUAUGACGGAUGAUGUGUGUUUCGGCGCACGAGUCCGCAUCUUUUGUUCUUCGAAUCGAUGUCGAACGCGUGCACUUUUCCUCUAGUAGGACGUCGUGAUCCGUUGGGUGUCUGUCUAAGACUCGGGGUGGAGCCCACGUGAUUUUUGUGAUUAUGUGGACCCUCGAUGUUCCGACAGACUCGCUCGACGGUAUAAAUAUGGCGCGGGGCCGCUACAUUAGUUAGCGUUCGGCCCGUAGCAAGCACGUUUCGUGUUUGACGGCGAUCGGACCUAGUGCCGAUUCUGUCCCGGAACGACUGUUGGUUACGGUGUUCUCGAACAGACCUCG